GCUGCCUUUGAAAUCCUUUCAUCUCCCAAAACCCUCUCAAAGCACCUUCGAAACCCUAGCUUCCUCCUACCCUAUUUCAAUAUGUUUCCACCAGAAUCCAUGUCUUCUCAGGCCAUGGAUGGUCUAUACUCACCCCUAUCUGCCAUUAAACCAUGGGUGCUUGAAGUCUUGGGGUAUCACCUCGAAGGUUCUCUUCAGAUCUUCUCAGAUCUACAGUUCUUGGGCCUCUCUGGACAUGCUCCAGCGUAUCUAAGGCGUUAGAAGCCACUUUCUAGCUCAGCCGACUCAGGAUCUGAUUUUUCCUCCAAGACUUUCUCAUUUCUUGGGUUUCUCCGAAACCCUAAGUUGUUUGAGGUUCUUUUCUGUUUAUUUUCUUAGACCUAUGGUAUGUUUGUGUUCUAC
rnacentral:lncRNA from 1 species